UACGUAGGUGGCAAGCGUUAUCCGGAUUUAUUGGGCGUAAAGGGAACGCAGGCGGUCUUUUAAGUCUGAUGUGAAAGCCUUCGGCUUAACCGGAGUAGUGCAUUGGAAACUGGGAGACUUGAGUGCAGAAGAGGAGUGUGGAACUCCAUGUGUAGCGGUGAAAUGCGUAGAUAUAUGGAAGAACACCAGUGGCGAAAGCGGCUCUCUGGUCUGUAACUGACGCUGAGGUUCGAAAGCGUGGGUAGCAAACAGG
rnacentral:rRNA from 1 species